rnacentral:rRNA from 1 species
AUUGAACGCUGGCGGCAUGCCUUACACAUGCAAGUCGAGCGGCAGCGCGGGGGCAACCCUGGCGGCGAGCGGCGAACGGGUGAGUAAUACAUCGGAACGUGUCCUGUCGUGGGGGAUAACCAGUCGAAAGACUGGCUAAUACCGCAUGAGAUCGAAAGAUGAAAGCGGGGGACCGCAAGGCCUCGCGCGAUUGGAGCGGCCGAUGUCGGAUUAGCUAGUUGGCGGGAUAAAAGCCCACCAAGGCGACGAUCCGUAGCUGGUUUGAGAGAACGACCAGCCACACUGGGACUGAGACACGGCCAAGACUCCUACGGGAGGCAGCAGUGGGGAAUUUUGGACAAUGGGGGCAACCCUGAUCCAGCCAUGCCGCGUGUGUGAAGAAGGCCUUCGGGUUGUAAAGCACUUUCGGCCGGAACGAAAUCGCGCGGAUUAAUAACCCGCGUGGAUGACGGUACCGGAAGAAGAAGCACCGGCUAACUACGUGCCAGCAGCCGCGGUAA